GGGAAAAGCUCAAAUUUUGAAUCUGGCGGUCCUUGCGGCCGUCCGAGUUGUAAUCUAGAGAAGCGUCUUCUACGCUGGACCGUGUACCAAGUCUCCUGGAACGGAGCUUAUCCUAGAGGGUGAUAAUCCCGUCUUUGACACGCGCUCCCAGUCGUAUCUUGUGAUGCGCUCUCCACGAGUCGAGUUGUUUGGGAAUGCAGCUCUAACAGGGUGGUAAACUCCAUCUAAAGCUAAAUACAGGCGAGAGACCGAUAGCGUACAAGUACCGCGAGGGAAAGACGAAAAGAACUUUGAAAAGAGAGUUAAACAGUACGUGAAAUUGCUGAAAGGGAAACGUUCCACGUCCAGUCACGUCCCCGGGGGAUCAACCUAGGCUUUAUUUUUUAUUUGCUUGGCGCAGUUCUUCGUCGACGGGUCAGCAUCAUUUUCGCAUGCCGUAGAAGGCCGGGAGAAAAGUAGCACCCCAGGGUGUGAUUAUAGGCUCUCGUGUUGGACGCGGUGGAAGGGAUUGAGGAGCUCGGCACGGUUAAUCCUGUGCCAGAGAUUGCUGGCAUAAUGGCGUCGACCGACCCGUCUUGAAACACGGACCAAGGAGUCUAACAUGCAUGCGAGUGUUUGGGUGCAAAACCCGAGCGCGCAACGAAACUGAACGGUCGAGAACUCUGCGAGGAGUGCACCGACGCCCGGAACCGUUCCUCUCGAAUGGAUCUGCGGUAGAGCAUCCAUGUUGGGACCCGAAAGAUGGUGAACUAUGCCUGAAUAGGGUGAAGCCAGAGGAAACUCUGGUGGAGGCUCGUAGCGAUUCUGACGUGCAAAUCGAUCGUCGAAUUUGGGUAUAGGGCGAAAGACUA
rnacentral:rRNA from 1 species